UUGAACGCUGGCGGCAUGCUUUACACCUGCAAGUCGCACGGUAACAGGUCUUCGGAUGCUGACGAGUGGCGAACGGGUGAGUAAUACAUCGGAACGUGCCUAGUAGUGGGGGAUAACUACUCGAAAGAGUAGCUAAUACCGCAUGAGAUCUACGGAUGAAAGCAGGGGACCUUCGGGCCUUGUGCUACUAGAGCGGCUGAUGGCAGAUUAGGUAGUUGGUGGGGUAAAGGCUUACCAAGCCUGCGAUCUGUAGCUGGUCUGAGAGGACGACCAGCCACACUGGGACUGAGACACGGCCAAGACUCCUACGGGAGGCAGCAGUGGGGAAUUUUGGACAAUGGGCGAAAGCCUGAUCCAGCAAUGCCGCGUGCAAGAUGAAGGCCCUCGGGUUGUAAACUGCUUUUGUACGGAACGAAAAGCCUGGGGCUAAUAUCCCCGGGUCAUGACGGUACCGUAAGAAUAAGCACCGGCUAACUACGUG
rnacentral:rRNA from 1 species